rnacentral:rRNA from 1 species
CGUAGGGGGCAAGCGUUGUCCGGAUUUAUUGGGCGUAAAGAGCUCGUAGGCGGCUGUUCGCGUCGGAUGUGAAAGCUCAGGGCUCAACCCUGAGAGGCCAUUCGAUACGGGACAGCUAGAGGUAGGUAGGGGAGGAUCGGAAUUCCUGGUGUAGCGGUGAAAUGCGCAGAUAUCAGGAGGAACACCGAUGGCGAAGGCAGAUCUCUGGGCCGUUACCUGACGCUGAGGAGCGAAAGCUGGGGGAGGCGAACAGGAUUAGAUACCCUGGUAGUCCCAGCCGUAAACGUUGAGUGCUAGGUGUGGGGCGGUCUUCAACCCGCUCUGUGCCGCAGCUAACGCAUUAAGCACUCCGCCUGGGGAGGUACGGUCGCAAGACUA